rnacentral:lncRNA from 1 species
CAUUAAUUCAUUGAAGGCAUCAUAUAGUUCAUCGAAAGUAAAAUCUAAAUGUGUUGCGGAUGUUACCUCAUUGUCGUUAGCCAUAAAACACAGAUUGGCCUUUUCUUCUUGUUCUUCAUCUGAUGAUGAUGAUGUGUCGGAGUCCGAUAGGGUGGAGACGAGGACUUUCUUCUUCUUGUACUUGCUCCCCUUCUUCAGCAAAGGACACUCAGCUCUGAAGUGCCC